rfam:Ictidomys tridecemlineatus contig073398, whole genome shotgun sequence.
UGGGUUGUAGCUCAGUGGUAGAGUGCUUGCUUAGCAUGCAUGAGGCACUUGGUUCUAUCCUCAGCACCACAU